UCAGAAUUUUUGCCGCUGGAG
rnacentral:piRNA from 1 species